CCUACGGUAUGCAGCAGUGGUGGAUAUUGCACAAUGGGGGAAACCCUGAUGCAGCGACGCCGCGUGUGGGAAGACGAUCCUCUGGAUUGUAAACCACUGUCCCCAGGGACGAAGAUGACGGUACCUGGGGAGGAAGCUCCGGCUAACUACGUGCCAGCAGCCGCGGUAAUACGUAGGGAGCGAGCGUUGUCCGGAAUUACUGGGUGUAAAGGGAGCGUAGGCGGGACUGCAAGUUGGGUGUCAAAUCUACCGGCUCAACCGGUAGCCGCACUCAAAACUGCAGUUCUUGAGUGAAGUAGAGGCAGGCGGAAGUCCUAGUGUAGCGGUGCAAUGCGUAGAUAUUAGGAGGAACACCAGUGGCGAAGGCGGCCUGCUGGGCUUUUACUGACGCUGAGGCUCGAAAGUGUGGGGAGCAAACAGGAUUAGAUACCCCUGUAGUC
rnacentral:rRNA from 1 species